rnacentral:rRNA from 1 species
GUGAUCUAGCCAUGGGCAGGUUGAAGGUUGAGUAACAUCAACUGGAGGACCGAACCGACUAAUGUUGAAAAAUUAGCGGAUGACUUGUGGCUAGGGGUGAAAGGCCAAUCAAACUCGGAGAUAGCUGGUUCUCCCCGAAAGCUAUUUAGGUAGCGCCUCGGACGAAUACUACUGGGGGUAGAGCACUGUUAAGGCUAGGGGGUCAUCCCGACUUACCAACCCUUUGCAAACUCCGAAUACCAGUAAGUACUAUCCGGGAGACACACGGCGGGUGCUAACGUCCGUCGUGGAGAGGGAAACAACCCAGACCGCCAGCUAAGGUCCCAAAGUAUUGCUAAGUGGGAAACGAUGUGGGAAGGCUCAGACAGCUAGGAUGUUGGCUUAGAAGCAGCCAUCAUUUAAAGAAAGCGUAAUAGCUCACUAGUCGAGUCGGCCUGCGCGGAAGAUGUAACGGGGCUAAGCAAUACACCGAAGCUGCGGCAAUAUCUUUUAGAUAUUGGGUAGGGGAGCGUUCUGUAAGCCGUUGAAGGUGAAUCGUAAGGUUUGCUGGAGGUAUCAGAAGUGCGAAUGCUGACAUGAGUAACGACAAAGGGGGUGAAAAACCUCCUCGCCGGAAGACCAAGGGUUCCUGUCCAACGUUAAUCGGGGCAGGGUGAGUCGACCCCUAAGGUGAGGCCGAAAGGCGUAAUCGAUGGGAAACGGGUUAAUAUUCCCGUACUUCUGACUAUUGCGAUGGGGGGACGGAGAAGGCUAGGUGGGCCAGGCGACGGUUGUCCUGGUUCAAGUGCGUAGGCUUGAGAGUUAGGUAAAUCCGGCUCUCUCUAAGGCUGAGACACGACGUCGAGCUGCUACGGCAGUGAAGUCAUUGAUGCCAUGCUUCCAGGAAAAGCCUCUAAGCUUCAGAUAGUCAGGAAUCGUACCCCAAACCGACACAGGUGGUCGGGUAGAGAAUACCAAGGCGCUUGAGAGAACUCGGGUGAAGGAACUAGGCAAAAUGGUACCGUAACUUCGGGAGAAGGUACGCUCUUGAUGGUGAAGUCCCUCGCGGAUGGAGCUGACGAGAGUCGCAGAUACCAGGUGGCUGCAACUGUUUAUUAAAAACACAGCACUGUGCAAAAUCGCAAGAUGACGUAUACGGUGUGACGCCUGCCCGGUGCCGGAAGGUUAAUUGAUGGGGUUAGCGCAAGCGAAGCUCUUGAUCGAAGCCCCGGUAAACGGCGGCCGUAACUAUAACGGUCCUAAGGUAGCGAAAUUCCUUGUCGGGUAAGUUCCGACCUGCACGAAUGGCGUAAUGAUGGCCACGCUGUCUCCACCCGAGACUCAGUGAAAUUGAAAUCGCUGUGAAGAUGCAGUGUACCCGCGGCUAGACGGAAAGACCCCGUGAACCUUUACUACAGCUUGGCACUGAACAUUGAACCUACAUGUGUAGGAUAGGUGGGAGGCUAUGAAGACGUGACGCCAGUUGCGUUGGAGCCGUCCUUGAAAUACCACCCUUGUAUGUUUGAUGUUCUAACUUAGACCCAUUAUCUGGGUUGAGGACAGUGCCUGGUGGGUAGUUUGACUGGGGCGGUCUCCUCCCAAAGAGUAACGGAGGAGCACGAAGGUGGGCUAAUCACGGUUGGACAUCGUGAGGUUAGUGCAAUGGCAUAAGCCCGCUUAACUGCGAGAAUGACGGUUCGAGCAGGUGCGAAAGCAGGUCAUAGUGAUCCGGUGGUUCUGUAUGGAAGGGCCAUCGCUCAACGGAUAAAAGGUACUCCGGGGAUAACAGGCUGAUACCGCCCAAGAGUUCAUAUCGACGGCGGUGUUUGGCACCUCGAUGUCGGCUCAUCACAUCCUGGGGCUGAAGUCGGUCCCAAGGGUAUGGCUGUUCGCCAUUUAAAGUGGUACGCGAGCUGGGUUUAGAACGUCGUGAGACAGUUCGGUCCCUAUCUGCCGUGGGCGUUGGAAGAUUGAAGGGGGCUGCUCCUAGUACGAGAGGACCGGAGUGGACGAACCUCUGGUGUUCGGGUUGUGUCGCCAGACGCAUUGCCCGGUAGCUAAGUUCGGAAUUGAUAAGCGCUGAAAGCAUCUAAGCG